rnacentral:rRNA from 1 species
UACGAAGGGGGCUAGCGUUGUUCGGAAUUACUGGGCGUAAAGUGUGCGCAGGCGGCCGCGCAAGUCGAGUGUGAAAGCCCCGAGCUUAACUUGGGAAUUGCGCUCGAAACUACGUGGCUGGAGUGUGGCAGAGGAAGGUGGAAUUCCACGUGUAGCGGUGAAAUGCGUAGAGAUGUGGAGGAACACCAAUGGCGAAGGCAGCCUUCUGGGCCAACACUGACGCUCAUGCACGAAAGCGUGGGGAGCAAACAGG